GAGAAUAUAUAGGCGGAAGAAAUAGGUCGAUAGAGUCAUGAGGGGCCCAGAAGGGUGGGGGCGCGCCCUACCCCCUGGGCGCGCCUCCCGACCUUGUGGCCGCCUCAUGACUUUCUCGACAUGCACUCCAAGCCCUCUGGAUGUCUUCUGGUCCAAGAAAAAUCAUUGCGAAAAUUUCAUUCCGUUUGGACUCCGUUUGGUAUUCCUUUUCUGCGAAACUCUAAAACGAUGAAAAAACAAGAACUGACACUAGGCUCUAGGUUAAUAGGUUAGUCCCAAAAAUAAUAUAAAACAACAUAUUAAUGCAUAUAAAACAUCCAAAACAGAUAAUAUAAUAACAUGAAACAAUAAAAAAAAUUAGAUACGUUGGAGACGUAUCAA
rnacentral:rRNA from 1 species